rnacentral:lncRNA from 1 species
AUGGGCAGGGCCAAGGAUGUGGUCAAGAUAGCACUCAGAAGCGACCCCUCCCGUGAUUCAAAUCAACAUCCUGAAGUUAUCUAUGCCAUUCUCAAACAGCACUUCAGUGACAUUUCAUAUUCUUGCAUGCCGCUUGCCGCAGAUUUUUACAGCACAUUACCUGAACAUAAGGAGAGUGCGUUUGAUUACUGGGUCCGUUUAAACAAAGCAGCAGAUGUCGCUGACGAGAGCUUGAGGCGCCAGGGCAAGAGAAUGGAGGAUGUGAAUAAAGAGGUAGCAAUGAUGUUUGUGCGCCACUGCCCUGAUCAGUCCCUUGCCAUGGUGUUCAAGAGUAAACUUGUUGAACAGUGGACGGCCAAGGAGGUCCAGGAAAGGAUUGAUGAGUAUCAGUGUGAAAUGAAGACCAAGCGCACUGAGGUCAGUUCCUUGCCCAGGCAGAAUGCAGCGCUCAUGCUUAACAGUGAAGAGAGUCACAGUGAAUACAGUCUAGAUUGUGCAUUGCAGUCCUGUAAACAAACAAUAGAACAGCCCCGCCGUCUUUAUGAGUCUGUACCCACUUCACAGAGUAGUGUGGACAGGAUGACUGACAUGCUCAGUAAAGUUCUUGAAAGUGUCAAUGCCCUGCGUGCUACUAACUCAUUCAGUGCUCCACAACACACUAGGAGGGGCCGUGACAGAUGCCGCAUAUGUAGUGAGGGCUCUCACUCCACCCUUCAACACUGCCGAACCCACUGUCUGUGCUUUGCCUGUCACCAGCCUGGUCACCUGUCCCUCUGCUACCCAGCCGCCUCCCACCAAUGUGCCGUCACCGCCCCCCCAGUUAAAAUAGAUAGCCUGCAUUCGGAGAGGGGCAGUGUAGGCAUUUCUAAUGCAUCCCUCAAACACACUGUUGACUUGAAGGUCAAGUUUGAAUCAAUUAAGCAGUCUUUGCCUAGCACCGCCACAGUCAUCAUGCAGAAUACAUCACAUCUACUUACAAGUGAUAGUUUGUUUCAUACCCCCGUUGUUAUCAAUGAAUCAAUUACUGUGAGAGCCAUGCUUGAUACUGGCUCUAUGGCGUGCACCAUUAGUGAAAACAUUGAGAGAAAAUGA